rnacentral:lncRNA from 1 species
CUCCGGAGCCACUCGGUGAAGAUGCGCCCUUCCGUGCGGUGCGCGCCGCCCGCGGAGGGCCAGGCUCCAGGGUAAACGGGCUGGCAGACUACAAAAGGAUGCGGACGAAUGUACCCGCGAGCUUUCUCUCUGAGUCUUCCCGGAGCUCUGGGGCUAGCGGGAUCUUGAAAAGCGUCCCAGUGAACCACGGCUGUUUUCCUUGGGAGGAAGAGGACGCGACAGGGCAAAGGGAUCUCUCGGGCACCAGACUUCUAGCUCCUUUGCUUCCGCCACGAGAUGCGCUUUCGAGUCCUUUGAUGGACUCCACUCGAACGUUGAGAAUCGCCCACCAUGGAUCAGAGCCCGUGCAAGAGGAGGAUUCAGGAAUCACGAGAACACAGUCUAUUCUCUGUGCGCUAAGGCUGAACUUUGAGGAAGGGUUUUACUACCCGGGAACAAAGUCAAGAAUGGAAGAAGAAAGAAAGGGUAUGGAGAACCAGACAAGAGGUCCGUAAAGCUUGUACUAUCUGACUUCAAUUAAUUAGAGUGAGGAGAAUGAGAAAAUAGACACAAUAUGCUUAUAAUAUUUAUGCAAUGUUGACUUU